rnacentral:rRNA from 1 species
CUUGUCUCAAAGAUUAAGCCAUGCAUGUCUAAGUAUAAGCAAUCUAUACAGUGAAACUGCGAAUGGCUCAUUAAAUCAGUUAUAGUUUAUUUGAUAGUACCUUACUACUUGGAUAACCGUGGUAAUUCUAGAGCUAAUACAUGCUAAAAACCCCGACUUCGGAAGGGGUGUAUUUAUUAGAUAAAAAACCAAUGCCCUUCGGGGCUCCCUGGUGAUUCAUAAUAACUUAACGAAUCGCAUGGCCUUGUGCCGGCGAUGGUUCAUUCAAAUUUCUGCCCUAUCAACUUUCGAUGGUAGGAUAGUGGCCUACCAUGGUUUCAACGGGUAACGGGGAAUUAGGGUUCGAUUCCGGAGAGGGAGCCUGAGAAACGGCUGCCACAUCCAAGGAAGGCAGCAGGCGCGCAAAUUACCCAAUCCCGACACGGGGAGGUAGUGACAAUAAAUACCGAUACAGGGCUCAUUAGGGUCUUGUAAUUGGAAUGAGUACAAUUUAAACCCCUUAACGAGGAACAAUUGGAGGGCAAGUCUGGUGCCAGCAGCCGCGGUAAUUCCAGCUCCAAUAGCGUAUAUUAAAGUUGUUGCAGUUAAAAAGCUCGUAGUUGAACCUUGGGCCUGGCUGGCCGGUCCGCCUCACCGCGUGCACUGGUCCGGCCGGGCCUUUCCUCCUGGGGAACCGCAUGCCCUUCACUGGGUGUGUCGGGGAACCAGGACUUUUACUUUGAAAAAAUUAGAGUGUUCAAAGCAGGCCUAUGCUCGAAUACAUUAGCAUGGAAUAAUAGAAUAGGACGUGUGGUUCUAUUUUGUUGGUUUCUAGGACCGCCGUAAUGAUUAAUAGGGAUAGUCGGGGGCAUCAGUAUUCAACUGUCAGAGGUGAAAUUCUUGGAUUUGUUGAAGACUAACUACUGCGAAAGCAUUUGCCAAGGAUGUUUUCAUUAAUCAGGAACGAAAGUUAGGGGAUCGAAGACGAUCAGAUACCGUCGUAGUCUUAACCAUAAACUAUGCCGACUAGGGAUCGGGCGAUGUUAUCUUUUUGACUCGCUCGGCACCUUACGAGAAAUCAAAGUUUUUGGGUUCUGGGGGGAGUAUGGUCGCAAGGCUGA